ACCUAUACAGCAUCUCUACCUAUAGACCUAUACAGCAUCUCUACCUACAGACCGAUACAGCAUCUCUACCUACAGACCUAUACAGCAUCUCUACCUAUAGACCUAUACAGCAUCUCUACUUACAGACCGAUACAGCAUCUCUACCUACAGACCUAUACAGCAUCUCUACCUAUAGACCUAUACAGCAUCUCUACUUACAGACCUAUUCAGCAUCUCUACUUACAGACCGAUACAGCAUCUCUACCUACAGACCUAUACAGCAUCUCUAUCUACAGAACUAUACAGACCUAUUCAGCAUCUCUACUUACAGACCGAUACAGCAUCUCUACCUACAGACCUAUACAGCAUCUCUAUCUACAGAACUAUACAGCAUCUCUACCUACAGACCGAUACAGCAUCUCUACCUACAGACAGAUACAGCAUCUCUACCUGCAGACCAAUACAGCAUCUCUACCUACAGACCUAUACAGCAUCUCUACCUAUAGACCGAUACAGCGUCUCUGCCUACAGACCUAUACAGCAUCUCUACCUACAGACCUAUACAGCAUCUCUACCUACAGACCUAUACAGCAUCUUUAUCUACAGGCCUAUACAGCAUCUCUACCUACAUACCUAUACAGCAUCUCUACCUAUAGACCUAUAAAGCAUCUCUACCUACACAACUAUACAGCAUCUCUACCUACAGACAGAUACAGCAUCUAUACCUACAGACCUAUACAGCAUCUCUACCUAUAUACCUAUACAGCAUCUCUACCUACAGACCUAUGCAGCAUCUCUACCUAUAGACCUAUACAGCAUCUCUACCUACACAACUAUACAGCAUCUCUACCUACAGACAGAUACAGCAUCUAUACCUACAGACCUAUACAGCAUCUCUACCUACAGACCUAUGCAGCAUCUCUACCUAUAGACCUAUACAGCAUCUCUACCUAUAGACCUAUACAUCAUCUCUGCCUACAGACCUAUACAGCAUCUCUACUUACAGACCAAUACAGCGUCUCUACCUAUAGACCUAUACAGCAUCUCUACCUACAGACCUAUACAGCAUCUCUACUUACAGACCGAUACAGCAUCUCUACCUACGGACAGAUACAGCGUCUCUACCUAUAG
rnacentral:lncRNA from 1 species